AUUGAACGCUGGCGGCAGGCCUAACACAUGCAAGUCGAGCGGGGUUUUCGGACCUAGCGGCGGACGGGUGAGUAAUGCGUAGGAAGCUACCCGAUAGAGGGGGAUACCAGUUGGAAACGACUGUUAAUACCGCAUAAUGUCUACGGACCAAAGUGUGGGACCUUCGGGCCACAUGCUAUCGGAUGCGCCUACGUGGGAUUAGCUAGUUGGUGGGGUAAUGGCUCACCAAGGCGACGAUCCCUAGCUGGUUUGAGAGGAUGAUCAGCCACACUGGAACUGAGACACGGUCCAGACUCCUACGGGAGGCAGCAGUGGGGAAUAUUGGACAAGGGGCGCAAGCCUGAUCCAGCCAUGCCGCGUGUGUGAAGAAGGCCUUCGGGUUGUAAAGCACUUUCAGUAGGGAGGAAGGGUGUUGUGUUAAUAGCACAGCAUUUUGACGUUACCUACAGAAGGAGCACCGGCUAACUCUGUGCCAGCAGCCGCCGUAACAC
rnacentral:rRNA from 1 species